rnacentral:rRNA from 1 species
AUUGAACGCUGGCGGCAUGCUUUACACAUGCGAGUCGAGCGGCAGCGCGGGGGCAACCCUGGCGGCGAGCGGCGAACGGGUGAGUAAUGCAUCGGAACGUAUCCUCGAGUGGGGGAUAACCCAGCGAAAGUUGGGCUAAUACCGCAUGAGCUCUGAGGAGGAAAGCGGGGGACCUGCGAGGGCCUCGCGCUGGAGGAGCGGCCGAUGUCCGAUUAGCUAGUUGGUGGGGUAAAGGCUUACCAAGGCGACGAUCGGUAGCUGGUCUGAGAGGAUGAUCAGCCACACUGGGACUGAGACACGGCCCAGACUCCUACGGGAGGCAGCAGUGGGGAAUUUUGGACAAUGGGGGCAACCCUGAUCCAGCCAUGCCGCGUGAGUGAAGAAGGCCUUCGGGUUGUAAAGCUCUUUCGGACGGAACGAAAUGGGCGGGACUAAUACUCCUGUCUGAUGACGGUACCGUAAGAAGAAGCACCGGCUAACUACGUG